rnacentral:rRNA from 1 species
GGACUACUGGGGUUUCUAAUCCCGUUUGCUCCCCUGGCUUUCGCGCCUCAGCGUCAGAAGAGGUCCAGCGCGCCGCUUUCGCCACCGACGUUCCUUCCGAUAUCUACGCAUUUCACCGCUCCACCGGAAGUUCCGCACGCCCCUACCUCCCUCGAGAUGGCCAGUAUCAGAGGCACUUCCCCAGUUGAGCUGGGGGCUUUCACCCCUGACUUGGCCGCCCGCCUACGCGCCCUUCAAGCCCAGUGAUUCCGAAUAACGUUCGCUCGGUUCGUCUUACCGCGGCUGCUGGCAC